UGGGGAAUAUUGGACAAUGGGCGAAAGCCUGAUCCAGCCAUGCCGCGUGUGUGAAGAAGGUCUUCGGAUUGUAAAGCACUUUAAGUUGGGAGGAAGGGCAUUAACCUAAUACGUUAGUGUUUUGACGUUACCGACAGAAUAAGCACCGGCUAACUCUGUGCCAGCAGCCGCGGUAAUACAGAGGGUGCAAGCGUUAAUCGGAAUUACUGGGCGUAAAGCGCGCGUAGGUGGUUUGUUAAGUUGGAUGUGAAAUCCCCGGGCUCAACCUGGGAACUGCAUUCAAAACUGACUGACUAGAGUAUGGUAGAGGGUGGUGGAAUUUCCUGUGUAGCGGUGAAAUGCGUAGAUAUAGGAAGGAACACCAGUGGCGAAGGCGACCACCUGGACUAAUACUGACACUGAGGUGUGAAAGCGUGGGGAGCAAGCA
rnacentral:rRNA from 1 species